AUGGAUGAGAGAAUGAGAGUCACUCUGUUGAGAGAUCUCCUGGGAAAGACCUGGACUGAAAUCCUGUUCGUGGUGGUCAAGACCAAAAGUCCCCAGCCAGGAUGCUGCUGCUGCAAUUUCAGCUUCUUCCAACAGUUUCUUCCUGUGGGACAAGAACCAGUUUCCCUUGGUGGGAGACCAUGGACUAACAGCUCUUCCUUUUGUCUUCAGGAUCUCGCUUUGGUCCCAGGAACGAAGAAAAAAGGGCGACACUGAACAAGACCCAAUCUCUGAGUAGUUUUACCUAUUUCCACCAUGCGCUUGGUAUACUCAUGUGCAGGCACCCAUAAGUGGCCAUGCUUGCUACCAGUUUAUCACUUCUCCAUUUUGGGCAUGUGGAUUCUGGCAGAGAUGCAGGAUCUGGAGUCAAACCUGGUACUGGCUGAGGAAGGAAUGAACCCCCUUCACCCUCCUCCUCCUUCACCCUCCUCCUCCUGCCCUCUGUGCUUUUUUUUUUUUUUUCAGAGAGACUGAUAGAAAGAUGUCUAUGGGUAGGGGACCUGCUCAGAAGCAGGUGACUUACAGGGUGUUUUCCAGGCAUUAAAUACAGCCUUGAUAGCAGCUUCUAGUGGGGUGCUGCUCGCCAUGCGAGGACCUCCUUAGUUUGGUAACCAUGGGCCCAGGAAAAGAGGAAUUCCUUUCAAAGCAAAGACCACUCAAGUCCUACUGUUAAAAUCAAUUGAAACUAAAAUGUUAGGUGCUCUGCAAGGGGCUGUGUGUUUGCAGUAACUCCUCUUUCUCUGUGGUUUUGCAGACUCCCCUUGCUGGGCCUCUUUGCAUGCCGCAGUAAGAAGCUCUCUUGCUUUCCAUUUUGGUGCUCCCAACUUUUGCCUGUGGGUUCCCAUCUUCCUCUCCAGGAGCCGUUUAGAAGUGAUUUAUGGCUGCUGGCAUGUCAGAACCAGUGGGAGCUCCUGGGAUGGAAACGGCUGCCUGAUUUGCCAUGCUGAUAAGUACAAGCCAAACACACCCAGCAAUGCCAGAUGGCGGCGGCGUUAUCUAUCACAGAGCAUCUCAGAGCAGACGGAUGUUAUACAAACAUUUCACAACUGUGGUAUUAUUAUUGGUGCAAUUACUAUUAAUACUAUUUAUAAGUGUUAAAUUAACAUAAAUAUAGCACUGUAAUAAUGAACACAAACCGUAUUUAGCAUGAUUGCUGAUGUAAUAAUUAAUGACCUCUAUCAGUAAUGCUAUCUGCUCUUAUAAGGAAUGAUUCAACAGUAGCUUGUCUUGAUUUCUCAAAGGAAGGAGGGUUUGGGAAAAGGUUAGUGUGAGUCAGAGCCCGGGGAAAGAUGUGGGAGUUGGAGAUGGUGCCCAGCUUCAGAGAAAAUUGUCAUGGGAGUCUGAAAACCGAGGACGCUAAUGAAUUGUGGAUUUUGGGAGAAGCAGACAGCAGUGUGGGCUUGUGGCAGUUUUCAGGCAUGAUGGCUCUGUACCAGCUAUUUCUGAAACGGGGUUUGCAGCUUUCUGGGCUUAGGUUUCGAGGUGGUCAGAGUAUCUGAACUAGAACAAUUUGAAGUGUAUGGUUGGUGCCAUAGUGCCAAAGCCAAAACAUUCAUUUGGGAAUCUAAGACCUGUUACUUGCCCAUGCUCUCAUUUCAAUGCUGCCUCUGACCUGCUGUGAGACUUUACAUAAAUCUGUGCCUCCAUCUGUCUUUUUUUUUUUUUUUUAUGGCAGUCUUUUUUGGGUCCUUGUCUGUAUGCAGCUCCUAGCACAAUAGGGAGCUGAGCCUGAUAGGACCUCUGGAUCCCGUAACGAUGCUGGUAAUGAGAUGACUGGGAGAUUCUGGCUGGAGCUCCGGGCCUGACGGUGGUCCAGGGGCAGGAUUUGUCUGCCCUGCCUUGAAACACUGAUAUGUGUUCAAGUCUGAGCUUGUUACCACAGCCCAGUUCUUACCUUAGGGCUGACUGUAGCAUGAGUUAAUAUAUAUAUAUAUUUCUCCAUAAGGAUUAUCGAGGAGUCUAACUUUAAGUGCUUAGCUCUCUUGUGCCUGAGUCAGGGUGGCUGAAACUCUAGCUUUGAGAGAAGGGCUUAUAUUCCCCUUGAGGUGUAAAGCUCAUACAUUGAAUUUAGAAGCAACUAAUUCUGCUGACAGACAGAAAAACGCAAGCAGGUCUCUCAAGUACCUUCUUGCCCCGGCUGUCAUGCGACGGCACGUCUUCUGGUGUGUUGAGCCCCGGGAGAUGGAGAGGGCUAAACACCAGCCCUCGCUAGGGAAACAGGCAUCCUCUGAGUGCCCUUGCAGUGCUGAGGCCCCUAAAGCUGAGUGGCUCCAAAGCAUCUUCCCUGCAAGGUUGUGCAGCCCCAGGAGAAGCAGUGGAGCCACGGUCCCAGAAAUAUUUAGAAGUUGGCUGGAUGAGGUCCUGAGCUAAUCUGAAGCUGCCUCAAGUUCCUCUGAGAAGGAGGUCAGACUGGAGAGCUCCGGAGGUCCCCUCUACCCCAACCUAUGCUGUGAUUCUCUGACAUUUGUAAAAAUCCCUCUUGGUAUGCACAUAAUCUUGAGGCAUUGCCUUGGAAAAAUCAGUCCGAGACCUUUCUGCUCCAAUAGGCUUCUUUGGGAAACCCGGGCUAGGCUAUAAAUGGCUUUAGAAAAUAUUUCCCAUCUAUAUAUGUCAAACGUAAUAAAGGGAGCAGGAGGUUCCUGCCCGAUAAAACA
rnacentral:lncRNA from 1 species